AGUGAACGCUGGCGGUAGGCCUAACACAUGCAAGUCGAACGGCAGCACAGUAAGAGCUUGCUCUUACGGGUGGCGAGUGGCGGACGGGUGAGGAAUACAUCGGAAUCUACUUUUUCGUGGGGGAUAACGUAGGGAAACUUACGCUAAUACCGCAUACGACCUACGGGUGAAAGCAGGGGAUCUUCGGACCUUGCGCGAUUGAAUGAGCCGAUGUCGGAUUAGCUAGUUGGCGGGGUAAAGGCCCACCAAGGCGACGAUCCGUAGCUGGUCUGAGAGGAUGAUCAGCCACACUGGAACUGAGACACGGUCCAGACUCCUACGGGAGGCAGCAGUGGGGAAUAUUGGACGAUGGGUGCAAGCCUGAUCCAGCCAUACCGCGUGGGUGAAGAAGGCCUUCGGGUUGUAAAGCCCUUUUGUUGGGAAAGAAAAGCAGCAGGUUAAUACCCCGCUGUUCUGACGGUACCCAAAGAAUAAGCACCGGCUAACUUCGUG
rnacentral:rRNA from 1 species